rnacentral:lncRNA from 1 species
CUUCAAGGCCCUUUUCUGCUGUUUUCGCGCCCAGCAUGUUGGCCAGUCAAGUUCCUCCACUGAGCUCGCUGCGUAUAAGGAGGAAGCAAACACCAUUGCUAAGUCGGAUCUGCUCCAGUGUCUCCAGUACCAGUUCUACCAGAUCCCAGGGACCUGCCUGCUCCCAGAGGUGACAGAGGAAGAUCAAGGAAGGAUCUGUGUGGUCAUUGACCUCGAUGAAACCCUUGUGCAUAGCUCCUUUAAGCCAAUCAACAAUGCUGACUUCAUAGUGCCUAUAGAGAUUGAGGGGACCACUCACCAGGUGUAUGUGCUCAAGAGGCCUUAUGUGGAUGAGUUCCUGAGACGCAUGGGGGAACUCUUUGAAUGUGUUCUCUUCACUGCCAGCCUGGCCAAGGUACCUAGGGUAUGCCGACCCUGUGACAGACCUGCUGGACCGGUGUGGGGUGUUCCGGGCCCGCCUAUUCCGUGAGUCUUGCGUGUUCCACCAGGGCUGCUACGUCAAGGACCUCAGCCGCCUGGGGAGGGACCUGAGAAAG